CCUACGGGAGGCAGCAGUGAGGAAUAUUGGUCAAUGGACGAGAGUCUGAACCAGCCAAGUAGCGUGAAGGAUGACUGCCCUAUGGGUUGUAAACUUCUUUUAUAUGGGAAUAAAAUGUUCCACGUGUGGGAUUUUGUAUGUACCAUAUGAAUAAGGAUCGGCUAACUCCGUUCCAGCAGCCGCGGUAAUACGGAGGAGCCGAGCGUUAUCCGGAUUUAUUGGGUUUAAAGGGAGCGUAGGUGGGUUGUUAAGUCAGUUGUGAAAGUUUGCGGCUCAACCGGAAAAUUGCAGUUGAAACUGGCAGUCUUGAGUACGGUAGAGGUGGGCGGAAUUCGAGGUGUAGCGGUGAAAUGCUUAGAUAUCACGAAGAACUCCGAUUGCGAAGGCAGUUCACUGGACUGCAACUGACACUGAGGCUCGAAAGUGUGGGUAUCAAACAGGAUUAGAUACCCCUGUAGUC
rnacentral:rRNA from 1 species